rnacentral:rRNA from 1 species
UACGGAAUGUGCAAACGUUAUUCGGAAUCACUGGGCUUAAAGAGUCCGUAGGCGGCUUGUUAGGUGAGGUGUGAAAUCCCCCGGCUCAACUGGGGAACUGCACGGGAAACAGCCGGGCUUGAGUUCGGGAGAGGGAAGCGGAAUUCCGGGUGUAGCGGUGGAAUGCGUAGAGAUCCGGAAGAACACCGGUGGCGAAGGCGGUCUGACUGGGCGGUGGACCCGCGA